rnacentral:lncRNA from 1 species
ACCGCUUCAAAUGGAAUUGAAAGAAGGUAAAAACAAACAGCUUGUUUUCUUUAUUUCGUUUUUUUGGGUUCAAUUCAGAUCUAAACCAGACAAAGAAGAAGAGUUAUUUAUUUCGCAACACACAGGGAUGGAGAGUGACGAUGACAUAAGGAGAGUGCCUGAUUACGGAGGUGGAGCUUCUACUUCCAACAGAGGAGAACAUACUGCGGCGACUUGGAUUGGUGGUAGUCAAACCCCAAGUGAAGUGGCAACCGGCAAUACCAUCCAAAGGAAAAGAGGACGGACUCCGGCCGACAAAGAACAUAAACGUCUGAAGAGGUAGUAAUAAAAUUAGAAGCUAGAAGAAGAAUAACAACACGUGCAGAUUUAGAAAAAUUGAACCGUGUGUCUUUGUUCGAUUGGGUUCAGGUUGCUGAGGAACAGGGUGUCUGCACAGCAAGCUAGAGAGAGGAAGAAGGCUUAUCUUACAGAUCUGGAGGGUAAAGUGAAUGAUCUUGAGAAGAAAAACUCCCAACUUGAAGAAAAACUC